GUCAGUAGUGAGCUAACCUCUGAUUGAGUGACAGUAUACAGUGACAAGAAUUCCCAAGGCGUAUUAAAGUUUUACGGUUAUAUCCUCUGGACUCAGAAAACCGAUUGGGACAUAGGACGCCAUUAUCUCCUUCGUUCCACGUGCGAGCUGCGUGAACUGUAUGCCUCUGGACUGACAGAUACAGAAUUUUGCCAAUCCAGAUCGAAUUGAAGAACCGUGCCGCAUUGCACACACGUUUUCAUAUUGCCAAGGAUAAGUGCAAGACGUUCGUUCUAAUCGCGCCGCACGAACCGCAAAGAAGAAAUAAAAAUGCUGGGAUUUGGAUACAUGCUUUUGGUGAUGCUCAUCGUGGCGACAAUCAGCAUUGCCGAGAAUUCUCGUACCCACGAAGGUCUCGUGCCAACCUCCGCACGCCAUCGUGUCCCAAUUGGACAAGAGGCCCUUGAUUUGAUCGCAGACUCUUGAGUGUUUUAGUACGUGAAAUGUUUUCAUUAUUUUUAAUGGACAAUUGCAUUCAUGUUUUCCCAUCUCCCUAUUAUACCCGUGCCAAAAGUUUUCCUUGUUUGCUUUUAAUAUCAAUUCGCUAUUUUAAUUUGACAUGAAAUUAUAUCUACAAUUCAGCAAAAACCUUUAUCAUAAGAGAUACUUAAAUGAUGAGUUGUGAAAAUUGACCUGCCUCAUGUGUUCCAAUUUACAGUAGUCCAUCAAUACAGAUUUUUUAUAUUCAACAACCAGAA